AGUGGGAUAGCUGGGUCAAAUGGUCAAAUGGUGGUUCCAUUCCCAGUUUUCCAAGGAAUCUCCAUACUGCUUUCCAUAUUGGCUGCACCAAUUUGCAGUCCCACCAGCAAU
rnacentral:pre_miRNA from 1 species